CGACAAAUGAACUUGCUCCCGUCCCCUGAGCACAGGUGUGAUGAGCAUUAAGGAACCUCAGGAGCACACGCUCUUGGCAGGGAGGGGGAGAGAAGCUGACCUGGGUGGUAACUGGGCUUCCCAGGGAAGGAGGGCAAGGAGCAAUUAAUGAUGUGGGUUCUGCUUGGGUUCGUUUGCAUCAUGAACCUCAGUACUUGCGAGUGAGGCUCCCAAGCUCCCCAGCACAGAGCAUGUCCCUGAGCUUCUGCUGGCAGCACUGGCUGCAUGUCACCCCCAGGGCAGUCAGCAGCUCUCCCCUACCCAGGUUAUGGCUUUACCUGUUUUCUGACACCUGUUUUCUUCUCCCUCCCUCCCCUCCUCUGAGUUGUUGUAUCUCCCAGGUGCAGCCCUGCUGAGGUAUAAGGCUUUAUUUUGUGUGUUGUGCAGGAUUAUCCUUAAUAAGCCAUGCUUCUCCUGAUCUUUGCUUUCUUGCUCCUAGAUUUCUGUCUCAUGGUGAAGAAAACAUGGACUAGAAAGCCACCCAGUGGGCAUGGAAUGGAUCAGGCAGCCUAAUGAAACCAGCAGUUAAUGACCUAAGGAGAAGAACUAAAACCAGCCCACUGCUCCACGGAGGCACUUAAUUUUUUCACGGGCCAUCCUACGCCGAGUGUUUUCUCGAAGAGUUUGGUGCUGGUUGAUGCACAGGACUGGCUGCAGGACCAAGGACCACCACAAGCCGAGGAUCAGCUCCUAUUGGGAGGUAUCAGCGUGGUGACGGCGAUGGCCUUGCUCAGACCCAAUGCACCGAGGAUGACUUCUAACACUGAUUAUGGCCUUUUUGCUGCCAAAUGAACCAGAAAAUCCCUCCCAGGGGCAGAGUUGUGCCACAGCCUCCCUUCUCCAAGGACAUGGGAUGUUAACAGAAACGUGGUGUGACCGGCAGAGCUCAGCACUGAGAUGGAAGGACUUGGUGAUGUCUUCAGAUGCACAAGUGGGGACAGCAGGUGGGAGCUUUCUAAGCCAGACAAAGGAGACCUGACAAGAAACUGUGGUGAAGGGACAAGCCCAAGGCAAAGGAAUGUCUGAUCACCUCCUCCCCUGGAGCAGGCAGCUGAGAUCUGCAUAGACAGGAGACAUUUUGCAAGACUCAACACCUGGAGCAGUGCUAACCAGGCAAGGACGGGGCUCUGUUGUAUCAGGAUGUUGAUCUCUCUCUCUCUUUCUCUCUCUUUCUCUGUUUGUGCAUUUGUGUAGUUUUGUUGCAUUUGGUGAGGCAAAUGAGCAACUGGUAAGUGGGGCAGGAAGGAGCAGCAGCAGCUGUUGAAGAUCAGCGUUGCUUUUUUUCUUUAAAUGUCAAAGAAAGGAGAAGCGCUUUAGAGAGCUUUUGGGGGGCUGGGGUUAUUUGCUGUUUGGCAUAUGGAGCUCUUUAACACAGCUGUGUUCUUGGGAGGGAGAGGUCUCAGCUGUCCAUUUACUCCAGUUUGCUUGGGCUCUCUGUACCCUGCCUGGGUCUGCAGAGGGCUGAGGUGCAUCUGCCUGCUGCAGAGCAUCCAGCCCUGUGGGAGAGGGAGCGAGUUACCGUAGGAUUCACUGUGCAUGGGUGCUUCCUUCCUUAUAAAAAUAAACCCUACAAUGUGUCUGGGUCA
ensembl:lncRNA